UACAGAGGUCUCGAGCGUUAGGCGGAAUCACUGGGCUUAAAGCGUGUGUAGGCGGAUCGUUAAGUGCCUUGUGAAAUCCCACGGCUCAACCGUGGAACUGCUUGGCAUACUGGCGGUCUUGAGCAACCUAGGGGCGAGCGGAACAAAUGGUGGAGCGGUGAAAUGCGUAGAUAUCAUUCGGAAUGCCGAAGGUGAAGACAGCCCGCUGGGCCUUUCCUGACGCUGAGGCACGAAAGCGUGGGUAGCAAACAGG
rnacentral:rRNA from 1 species